GCCCCUCCGGUUUUAGCAUCACUGCUACUCUGAACCCAACCAAUGAACACUCAUUGACAUUGAGAAACCAAAAACUAGAACUUCUGGAUGAUGCAUUAUGGGUGGUUUUGAAGAAAGACCGCUUGGAACUCAGAUCAGCAGACCCCGACACAAAGAAAGUGCCUUGGCUCAACAUCAAAAGAGUGGCAAGUGAAUGAACAUCCAUAUGUUUUAAGUUAAAAUUAAAUCUUUAAGCUGCUGAGAACAUAGAGGCAAUCAGCAGAGAAUUUACCCCACCCUUCCCACCCCUUCUACCAACCCACCUGCUCAAGGGCCACAGGUGUGAAGGCUGUGCAAGGAGCCCCUAUUUGAGAAGACGUAGGAGAUUUCCGUCCUCGG